UACAGAGGUCUCGAGCGUUAGGCGGAAUCACUGGGCUUAAAGCGUGUGUAGGCGGAUCGGUAAGUACCUUGUGAAAUCCCACAGCUUAACUGUGGAACUGCUUGGUAUACUGCCAGUCUUGAGCCAGCUAGGGGCUACCGGAACAAAUGGUGGAGCGGUGAAAUGCGUAGAUAUCGCUUGGAACGCCAAUGGUGAAAACAGGUAGCUGGGGGUGUGCUGACACUGAGACACGAAAGCCAGGGGAGCAAACGGG
rnacentral:rRNA from 1 species